UUAACAUGAAUCAAUUUAUGUUUCGGUUAUUUAUAAACGUUGUUUGUUACGACAUGAACAAAGAGUUUGGGAGUAUUGUAUAACCAUAAAGACCUACACGUGUACAAAUGGAACUGUAACCACACAUUACAAUUGGUAUUUUUAUUUCUACAUAUGAAUAAAUGAGUUUUUAAUCCACUAUUUUUAUGUGGUUAUUAAAACCCAUAGACACCACAACACGAAUGCCACUUUAAGACAUUAGUUCAAAGUCAUUAUUGUUAUAACAUUUAUUUACACCUUUCAAACCAGAAUGUAAAAUUGUUUCAAGACAAAGUGGUAGUCCAUGUCGUUUGGGUUCACAAAACUCCGCGAUGAAUAACAAACGCAGUUUCCAAUGAGUUUUGUUAACCUCCUCGCAAGACGGGAGCGCCACUUCUCAAUUAUUCACGCACACUCUGACUUUCUGGUCCCGGUUCUUUCAUGCAGGACAAAAGCCUACUAUUUAGGUCGUGGUAACAACGGAAUGAUUGCAGAGGACGUGGAAAUGUAUACCAGAGAAUUUAAUAUUAGAUAACCUAUAAUAUUAUUAAAAGACGAUUUUACGGCUUAA